rnacentral:rRNA from 1 species
GACGAACGCUGGCGGCGUGCUUAACACAUGCAAGUCGAACGGAAAGGCCCUGCUUUUGUGGGGUGCUCGUGUGGCGCGCGUGUGUGUAACACGUGAGUAACCUGCCCCUGACUUUGGGAUAACUUCAGGAAACUGGGGCUAAUACCGGAUAGGAGCUCCUGCUGCAUGGUGGUGGUUGGAAAGUUUCGUCGGGUGGGGAUGGACUCGCGGCUUAUCAGCUUGUUGGUGGGGUAGUGGCUUACCAAGGCUUUGACGGGUAGCCGGCCUGAGAGGGUGACCGGCCACAUUGGGACUGAGAUACGGCCCAGACUCCUACGGGGGGCAGAAGUGGGGAAUAUUGCACAAUGGGCGGAAGCCUGAUGCAGCAACGCCGCGUGCGGGAUGACGGCCUUCGGUUUGUAAACCGCUUUCGCCUGUGACGAAGCGUGAGUGACGGUAAUGGGUAAAGAAGCACCGGCUAACUACGUG